AGGUGAACCUGCGGAGGGAUCAUUACCGAGUUUACAACUCCCAAACCCAAUGUGAACGUUACCAAACUGUUGCCUCGGCGGGAUCUCUGCCCCGGGUGCGUCGCAGCCCCGGACCAAGGCGCCCGCCGGAGGACCAACCAAAACUCUUAUUGUAUACCCCCUCGCGGGUUUUUUUAUAAUCUGAGCCUUCUCGGCGCCUCUCGUAGGCGUUUCGAAAAUGAAUCAAAACUUUCAACAACGGAUCUCUUGGUUCUGGCAUCGAUGAAGAACGCAGCGAAAUGCGAUAAGUAAUGUGAAUUGCAGAAUUCAGUGAAUCAUCGAAUCUUUGAACGCACAUUGCGCCCGCCAGUAUUCUGGCGGGCAUGCCUGUCCGAGCGUCAUUUCAACCCUCGAACCCCUCCGGGGGGUCGGCGUUGGGGAUCGGCCCUCCCUUAGCGGGUGGCCGUCUCCGAAAUACAGUGGCGGUCUCGCCGCAGCCUCUCCUGCGCAGUAGUUUGCACACUCGCAUCGGGAGCGCGGCGCGUCCACAGCCGUUAAACACCCAACUUCUGAAAUGUUGACCUCGGAUCAGGUAGGAAUACCCGCUGAACUUAAGCAUAU
rnacentral:rRNA from 1 species